rnacentral:rRNA from 1 species
UACGGGAAGGCAGCAGUGGGGAAUAUUGCACAAUGGGCGAAAGCCUGAUGCAGCUAUGCCGCGUGUAUGAAGAAGGCCUUAGGGUUGUAAAGUACUUUCAUCGGGGAGGAAAAACAAAACUAAUAAUUUUAUUUCUUGACGUUACCCGAAAAAGAAGCACCGGCUAACUCCGUGCCAGCAGCCGCGGUAAUACGGAGGGUGCUAGCGUUAAUCAGAAUUACUGGGCGUAAAGAGCACGUAGGUGGUUUUUUAAGUCAGAUGUGAAAUCCCUGGGCUUAACCUAGGAACUGCAUUUUGAAACUGAAAUACUAGAGUAUCGUAGAGGGAGGUAGAAUUCUAGGUGUAGCGGUGAAAUGCGUAGAUAUCUGGAGGAAUACCUGUGGCGAAAGCGGCCUCCUAAACGAAUACUGACACUGAGGUGCGAAAGCGUGGGGAGCAAACAGGGAUUAGAUACC